rnacentral:lncRNA from 1 species
AUUUUUCAAGGUCAUUAGUCACUUAACCUUUUGUAUGAGGUCAAAUGUCUUUAUAAUGAACUUAAUUGAAGUUAUAAUCAAAUAACUUCAUAUCAAGACAUUUCAGGGGCACCAACUCCUAUAAGAUGCCAUUUAAUUGUAUAAGACUAAAUGUAACAUAUCUUCAUUACAAUAAAGCUGACAUUUUGCACUUGUUCUUUUAUGUGUAUCUCUCAAAGUGUCGGAGAAAUGCAAAAACAAGCAAAAGUCACAAUUUAGAACUUGACCUUGACCUUUGACCUUGACCUCAUUUUCUAAGUUGGGACCCAUUGGACUCAAAUAAAGACAUUCCAGGGUUAUACGGUUAACGGUUUAUGAGUUAAAUAAACAUACCGACAAAUUUAUUUUGUAAAGGUAGAUAACUCCUAUAAAAUUUCAUCGAAUCGCUUCGAUCCAAAUGCGCCAAAAAUUACUGAGGAUGUAACAAA